AGCGAACGCUGGCGGCGUGCCUAACACAUGCAAGUCGAACGUGAAAGGGAGCAAUCCCAAGUAAAGUGGCGUACGGGUGAGUAACACGUAGGUAAUCUACCCCAGAAUCUGGAAUAACCGGCCGUAAGGCUGGCUAAUACUGGAUAGAGCGACGGAAUCCGUAAUUGGGUUUUUCGGGAAAGGGAGCCUGUAAAAAGGCCUUCGUUCUGGGAUGAGCCUGCGUCCCAUCAGCUAGUUGGUGAGGUAAAAGCUUACCAAGGCAAUGACGGGUAGCUGGUCUGAGAGGACGAUCAGCCACACUGGAACUGAAACACGGUCCAGACUCCUACGGGAGGCAGCAGUGGGGAAUCUUGCGCAAUGGACGAAAGUCUGACGCAGCAACGCCGCGUGAGUGAAGAAGGCCUUCGGGUUGUAAAGCUCUGUCGAGUGGGACGAAAAUGCUUGGAGUUCACAGCUCCAGGAACUGACGGUACCACUAAAGGAAGCACCGGCUAACUCCGUG
rnacentral:rRNA from 1 species